rnacentral:rRNA from 1 species
UGGGGAAUAUUGCACAAUGGGCGCAAGCCUGAUGCAGCCAUGCCGCGUGUGUGAAGAAGGCCUUCGGGUUGUAAAGCACUUUCAGCGGGGAGGAAGGCGAUAAGGUUAAUAACCUUGUCGAUUGACGUUACCCGCAGAAGAAGCACCGGCUAACUCCGUGCCAGCAGCCGCGGUAAUACGGAGGGUGCAAGCGUUAAUCGGAAUUACUGGGCGUAAAGCGCACGCAGGCGGUCUGUCAAGUCGGAUGUGAAAUCCCCGGGCUCAACCUGGGAACUGCAUGCGAAACUGGCAGGCUAGAGUCUUGUAGAGGGGGGUAGAAUUCCAGGUGUAGCGGUGAAAUGCGUAGAGAUCUGGAGGAAUACCGGUGGCGAAGGCGGCCCCCUGGACAAAGACUGACGCUCAGGUGCGAAAGCGUGGGGAGCAAACAGG